CCUUGUACACACCGCCCGUCACGCCAUGAAAGCUUUCUGUACCCAAAGUCAUUUUAGCUAACCCGUAAGGGAGGCGGAUGCCAAAGGUAUGGGGAGUGAUUGGGGCG
rnacentral:rRNA from 1 species